ensembl:lncRNA
UCAUCUCCUCAGAGGCCCGUGAUCCCGUUGGGAGUAGAGCGGCUAGCGAGAUGCCGCAUCAUUGCUGUAUCUAACACGCAUUUUAUUUGCACUAGAAAAUAAAUUCGUUGGCUACAUCGACGUGGUCCUCUGCUGUCAUCGUUCCCCACACCCGCACACACAACGCAGAGAGAGGGUCAGAGAGUUGGGCCAGACCGGCUACAGUGGUGCCGUGAACCGGAUCCACGCUGCUUCAGACUGGUUCAGACUGGUUCGUCGUGAUUCCUGGAGCAGUGGAUCAACACCAGCUUGGACACCGGAGGUUGCCCUCAGUUACAUCCUGGCCUGGUGGGAAAUCCUGAGAGUCCAUCUGAGACACAGAUGCUCCAACAGAUUAUUGUCCUUAUGGGCUGCCAUCCGAGUGCCAACAAACACACAUGGACCAAAACACACACUACCAACACACACAACCUCCCACAGACCGACACCAGCAGUCAAAUAUCAGCAGCAAAAACAGAAGAUAAAAAACUAGAUGGAUGUUUAGGAUAUUUAAGCAUGCUGUAAAUAAAAUAAAAUAAAAUAAAAAAUAAAUAAAAC